GACGAACGCUGGCGGCGUGCCUAAUACAUGCAAGUAGAACGCUGAAGGAGGAGCUUGCUUCUCUGGAUGAGUUGCGAACGGGUGAGUAACGCGUAGGUAACCUGCCUGGUAGAGGGGGAUAACUAUUGGAAACGAUAGCUAAUACCGCAUAAUAGCAGUUGUUGCAUGAUAACUGUUUGAAAGGUGCAAUUGCACCGCUACCAGAUGGACCUGCGUUGUAUUAGCUAGUUGGUGGGGUAACGGCUCACCAAGGCGACGAUACAUAGCCGACCUGAGAGGGUGAUCGGCCACACUGGGACUGAGAAACGGCCCAGACUCCUACGGGAGGCAGCAGUAAGGAAACUUCGGCAAUGGACGGAAGUCUGACCGAACAACGCCGCGUGAGGGAAUAAAGUUUUCGGAUCGGAAAGCUCUGUUGUAAGAGAAGAACGAGUGUGAGAGUGGAAAGUUCACACUGUGACGGUACCUUACCAGAAAGGGACGGCUAACUACGUG
rnacentral:rRNA from 1 species